rnacentral:tRNA from 1 species
GCCGGGGUGGUGAAAUUGGUUAGACACGGGGGACUUAAAAUCCCCUGCCGAAUUACAUUGGCAUGUGGGUUCGAUUCCCACCCCCGGCA